rfam:Salmo salar isolate Sally breed double haploid chromosome ssa25, whole genome shotgun sequence.
AAAAAACAUUUAUGUGAUAAGUUGCUCUGGAUAAGAGCAUCUGCUAAAUGACAAAAA